rnacentral:sRNA from 1 species
CUCUUCAUCAUCGCGUCGUUCGGCGGCUCUGUCGCCAGCGCCAGCGCCCCCAGUGUGUCCAUGAUCAGGUUCACCCACAGCAGCUGCACAAUCGUCAGCGGCGCACUCCCUGAAUCGCCAACAAAUUCAUCAUAAAUCGGAACAAGAACCAGAGAAUUCUUAUACCUGACCAUGACCAGAAGAAAUUUUGUCAACUUUUUGUACGAAAAAUUUCAAAUUCUUAAUACCUGUGAAGGACGCAGAGAUGAAGUUCACCAUCAGGGCGACCACAUUGACGGUGAGCUGGAACUGGACGAACUUCUGGAUGUUGAUGUAGACGGAGCGACCCCAUUUGGCAACGUUGAUGAUGGUCGAGAAGUUGUCGUCCAUGAUGAUCACAUC